rnacentral:rRNA from 1 species
CCUACGGGGGGCAGCAGUGAGGAAUAUUGGUCAAUGGGCGGAAGCCUGAACCAGCCAAGUCGCGUGAGGGAAUAAGGCCCUACGGGUCGUAAACCUCUUUUGCCGGGGAGCAAGGGCGGGGACGUGUCCCGGCCCGGAGAGUACCCGGAGAAAAAGCAUCGGCCAACCCCGUGCCAGCAGCCCCGGUAAUACGGAGGAUGCGAGCGUUUUCCGGUUUGUUUGGGUUUAAAGGGUGCUUAGUCGGGCUUUAAAGUCACCGGUAAAAAUUCGGGGCUCAACCCCGUCCGGCCGUUGAAACUGGGGGCCGUGAGUGGGCGAGAAGAAGGCGGAAUGCGUGGGGUAGCGGUGAAAUGCAUAGAUAUCACGCAGAACCCCGAUUGCGAAGGCAGCCUUCCGGCGCCCUACUGACGCUGAGGCACGAAAGUGCGGGGAUCGAACAGGAUUAGAUACCCGGGUAGUC